rnacentral:rRNA from 1 species
UACAGAGGGUCUCAAGCGUUGUUCGGAUUCAUUGGGCGUAAAGAGCUCGUAGGCUGUUCGAUAAGUCGGGUGUGAAACCUCCAGGCUCAACCUGGAGACGCCACCCGAUACUGUCAUGACUAGAGUCCGGUAGGGGAGCGUGGAAGUUCCUGGAUGUAGCGGUGAAAUGACGCAGAUAUCAGGAGGAACACCGGUGGCGAAGGCGGGUCUCUGGGCCGAUACUGACGCUGAGGAGCGGAAAGCGUGGGGAGCGAACAGG